GCCGCAAGGGCCAGCUCACCACGGAGCACAGUGGACACGUCAGGCACACACGUCGGGGCCGCACGGCCGCCUGACUCCCUGAAUCACCUGCCGGCUGGUCAGCCGGACCCGAUUCGGGGCUCUGACCCCAAAAAGGCAGGAGGCGCAUGCCCACGGGGUGCCCAGCACCCAGGAAGCUGGAAGCACUCCAGUAGAUUAUGGCCCCAUUUUACAGAGAAGAAACCAAUUAAAAAGGAUGAAAGUAAGUCGCCCAAGGCCCCACACCUGGUUACGGAAAGGGAGGGAGGGUUGGUGCCGGCCGAGGAGGAGGAGGAGGAUGGGUGUGGUAGGCGUGUGGGUUCAGAGCUCAGCUCCCAUCCUGGACACCCGCAGGAGAGCCUCGCCCUGCCCUGUCUGAAGGCUGGACUCCCGCCUCCGGACACUUCUCCCAAGCCUGGAGGCUCUUGGUGAUGCAGGGCUUGGACCAGGGCCCCGAGGCCUCUGCCUGAGCCCCGGCUCUGCCCAGAGCCCCCAUUUCCUCCCCCGAGGCAGGUGUCCUGUGGCAUCUCUGUCCACACCUGGGAAUGGCGGAUGGGUCUCCGGUUCCUGGAGCCGGGUCCCUCCUGGGUUUGGCCAAGCAGAGGCCUGGGCCACAGGGGCCCCUAGUCCCCACCUCCGCUGCCCUCCCAGCACUGAAUUCUGCAAGCAGGCCUCCUGUCUGGGCCCCAGCCCCAGCCCUGCCUUGCAGGCCUUGCGAGGCCCCUAAGGUCCAGUGAUGCCUCUGGAGUAGGGCUCUGUUCCCCACCGGGAUGCUGACUGGUGUAGGGUGACGGUAAUGCUUACUUCAUCAGGUCUGGGACAUCAGACAGGGACAGUGCACGUGACCAUUCACACGACAAAUAUCCUCCAACGGCUUCCUGAGGGCCAGGUACCGAUGUAGUUUCUGGAAAAUCCUCAUGUCUUGGAGUGCUCGUUCCAGUGAGGCAGACACACAAUAAACACCAUGGCCACGGAAUGGGCUGUGCAGCAUGUGACCUUUGACCUUCUGGCGUUUGAGCCUGCCAGCGUCCGACAAAUAGACCCGUCUCCACACGGUUAUCAGGGCGGCUCAAGUCCGAGUCAGGCUGAGUCACCCCUCCAGGCCCUCCGCUAAGGCCUUCUGCGGGACCAGUCCGGGCUUCAUUGGGGAGCUGCUGAAGGGAAAUUCUGACACCCGCGACUACACGGACGAACCCGGAGGACACGACGCGAAGGGAAAGGAGCCGUCAUAAGAGACAAACACCACGUGACUCCCCUUCCGUGAGGGCCUAGAGCAGACAGAGGGUAGAAGUGGGCGCCGGGGGCUGGGGUCAGUGUGGGGUGGGACAGAGCAUCAGGCCGGGAGGACGAGAAAGUGCUGGGGGCUGACGGUGGCCGCAGGGCGGUGCGGGUGUAGCUGGUGCCCCUGAACUAGACGCUUGAAAAUGGCUAAGAUGGUAAAUUUGCAAGUUAUGUUUGUUUCCUGUUUUUAAUGUUUACUUAUUUAUUUUUGAGAGAGAGAGAGAGAGA